GGGGAUGUAGCUCAGUUGGCUAGAGCGCUUCAAUGGCAUUGAAGAGGUCCAGGGUUCGAGUCCCUGUAUCUCCACCA
rnacentral:tRNA from 1 species